rfam:Triticum aestivum genome assembly, contig: Triticum_aestivum_CS42_TGACv1_scaffold_100321_2AL
UGGUGGCACCAACCGGGACUAAAGGGGGCAUUGGUCACAGUUCGUGUCACCAACCGUGACCAAUGCCCCCCUUUAGUCCCGGUUGGUGCCACAAA